GGAUCCCGGUGACGCGGCCGGGUGUCUCGGGCGUUCCGGAGCCGCACGAGCCAAGGAGCCGAGGUGUGGGCGCCCGGAGGCCGGCCUCGCGCGCUGCUGGUCUGAAACCACCCUUCUGAGCCUUCCCCAUCUCUCUGCAGUCAGGAAAUUGGAAGAGCAGCUAGGGCUUUUAACCCUGAGCGUCUCUGCAGCCUCUGUGCAAUUUGGUUGUUAAAGGAAAGUGAGUCCUGUGUCCUGACAGUGCCUCAAGUCAGUGGAUUCUUCUUUGUUCAGUCGUGUACUCCGGCCUCUUUCGAACAUCUGCAAAAUCGAAUCCCGAGCCCUCUCCACUCCUGCUGCUAGACAACCCAUGCAGUGCCCCCAGCAUCUGGUCUGUUUUCUCCCUUCUCCUUC